CCUACGGGUGGCAGCAGUGAGGAAUAUUGGUCAAUGGGCGCGAGCCUGAACCAGCCAAGUAGCGUGAAGGAUGACUGACCUACGGGUUGUAAACUUCUUUUAUAAAGGAAUAAAGUGAGGCACUUGUGCCUUUUUGUGUGUACUUUAUGAAUAAGGAUCGGCUAACUCUGUGCCAGCAGCCGCGGUAAUACGGAGGAUCCGAGCGUUAUCCGGAUUUAUUGGGUUUAAAGGGAGCGUAGAUGGGUGUGUAAGUCAGUUGUGAAAGUUGGCGGCUCAACCGUAGAAUUGCAAUUGAUACUGGCAGUCUGGAGUGCAGUUGAGGUAGGCGGAAUUCGUGGUGUAGCGGUGAAAUGCUUAGAUAUCACGAAGAACUCCGAUUGCGAAGGCAGCUUACUAAACUGCCACUGACAUUGAUGCUCGAAAGUGUGGGUAUCAAACAGGAUUAGAUACCCGGGUAGUC
rnacentral:rRNA from 1 species